rnacentral:rRNA from 1 species
UACGUAGGAGGCGAGCGUUGUCCGGAAUUACUGGGUGUAAAGCGCGUGUAGGCGGCACGUCAAGUCUGGGGUGAAAGCGCCCGGCUCAACCGGGCAGGGUCCCUGGAAACUGGCGGGCUGGAGGUCGGUAGAGGCGAGUGGAAUUCCCGGUGUAGUGGUGAAAUGCGUAGAGAUCGGGAGGAACACCAGUGGCGAAGGCGGCUCGCUGGGCCGGACCUGACGCUGAGACGCGAAGGCGUGGGGAGCGAACGGGAUAGAUACCCCAG